GACGAACGCUGGCGGCGUGCUUAACACAUGCAAGUCGAACGGAAAGGCCCUGCUUUUUUGGUGUGCUCGAGUGGCGAACGGGUGAGUAACACGUUAGUAACCUGCCCUUUACUUUGGGAUAACUUCAGGAAACUGUGGCUAAUACCGGAUAGUAGCUCCUGCUGCAUGGUGGGCGUUGGAAAUUUUCGGCGGUUGGGGAUGGACUCGCGGCUUAUCAGCUUGUUGGUUGGGUAGUGGCUUACCAAGGCUUUGACGGGUAGCCGGCAUGAGAAGGUGAACGGGGACAUGAGGACUACGAGAGGGAGCAGACGCGUACGGGAGGCAGUAGUGGGGAAUAUUACACAGUGGGCGGAAGCCUGAGGCAAAGGCGUUGGGUGCGGGAUGACGGGCUGCGGGUUAAGAACCGCUGACGCCUGAGACGAAGCGUGAGUGACGGUAAUGAAUAAAGAAGCACCGGCUAACUACGUG
rnacentral:rRNA from 1 species